GACGAACGCUGGCGGCGUGCUUAACACAUGCAAGUCGAACGGAAAGGCCCUGCUUUUGUGGGGUGCUCGAGUGGCGAACGGGUGAGUAACACGUGAGUAACCUGCCCUUGACUUUGGGAUAACUUCAGGAAACUGGGGCUAAUACCGGAUAGGAGCUCCUGCUGCAUGGUGGGGGUUGGAAAGUUUCGGCGGUUGGGGAUGGACUCGCGGCUUAUCAGCUUGUUGGUGGGGUAGUGGCUUACCAAGGCUUUGACGGGUAGCCGGCCUGAGAGGGUGACCGGCCACAUUGGGACUGAGAUACGGCCCAGACUCCUACGGGAGGCAGCAGUGGGGAAUAUUGCACAAUGGGCGGAAGCCUGAUGCAGCAACGCCGCGUGCGGGAUGACGGCCUUCGGGUUGGAAACCGCUUUCGCCUGUGACGAAGCGUGAGUGACGGUAAUGGGGAAAGAAACACCGGCUAACUACGU
rnacentral:rRNA from 1 species